rnacentral:rRNA from 1 species
GAUGAACGCUGGCGGCGUGCCUAAUACAUGCAAGUCGAGCGAACAGACGAGGAGCUUGCUCCUCUGACGUUAGCGGCGGACGGGUGAGUAACACGUGGAUAACCUACCUAUAAGACUGGGAUAACUUCGGGAAGCCGGAGCUAAUACCGGAUAAUCUAUUGAACCGCAUGGUUCAAUAGUGAAAGACGGUUUUGCUGUCACUUAUAGAUGGAUCCGCGCCGCAUUAGCUAGUUGGUAAGGUAACGGCUUACCAAGGCAACGAUGCGUAGCCGACCUGAGAGGGUGAUCGGCCACACUGGAACUGAGACACGGUCCAGACUCCUACGGGAGGCAGCAGUAGGGAAUCUUCCGCAAUGGGCGAAAGCCUGACGGAGCAACGCCGCGUGAGUGAUGAAGGUCUUCGGAUCGUAAAACUCUGUUAUUAGGGAAGAACAAAUGUGUAAGUAACUAUGCACGUCUUGACGGUACCUAAUCAGAAAGCCACGGCUAACUACGUG